AAUUUGAACAUGAUUUUUGGAGAUAUUCACCUAACAUCCCAAGACUACAUGUAUCUCAGCUAAGAGAUCUAUACUUAAUGAACAAAUGAUUUGGCUAGUGCCUAACAGACACCUCCCCAAAAGCACUUCUGUGAAGGAAGCAACGGCAGCUUUAAUGAUGGAGAGGAAUCCGAGCCCAAGAGAACCUGGGAACGGAUUCCACACCGGUCUCUUUUGCUUCCUCUCCCUUAUCUAUUGAGCCUAUUUCAUUUCCUGCCUCUGUUUUUUUCCCCAUUGAUAUUGGACAAUUCUCUCCCAAAUGCCUAAAAUAAUAGUUCAGUCGUGUAGCUGGCUGACGAUCCAUCAUACAAUCAAAACCAUGCUGGCCAGAUAUGGGCAACUGCUUCUCAGCCUUUGCUGGUCCAUCUGUCACUCUCCAUACAUCAGUUGGGAAAGUAUUUGGUGAUCAGAGACUAUCUAGAAAGCUGGAGCACAUGUGUACAUGAACACACACACACACACACACACACACACAUACAUACACACAUAUACACUGUAUGGAAUUAUAUGGGGGUGUAUAUUUAUCUAGAACAUAAGCCAAUAUUUUUCAACAACAAUUUUACCUCUGUUUGUAACACCAUUUGCAGUUGUCUUAAUUUCAAAAUAAACUAUUCCUUCCCCCAAACAAGAGACACACUGAAAUGUUACAUAACUCCCGUUUUUCAAAAGACCCUUAUUUGUACCCCAGAGAGACCCAAGCUGGGGCUAACAUUCACACAAGCCUUUACAAAUACUCAAAGGCACAGCAAUAUUUGAAACAAAAGGAAAACCUAAAGACAGUUGUUUUAGUCCUUAAUAUAAUGCUUAAUUUUUCACAUUAAUAUGAGAAAAUUCCCCAGGGGCUAGUUACAGGCUUGCAUUGCUAUUUUUAUUUUAUCAAUAAUAAUUAUGUAUUUUUUUAUUGGAUGCUUCUUUUCCAGGGAACCCAAAGUGUAUGCAAAUCCUUUAUUUUUUCCCUUAUGCCAUCUUUGAGGCAUAGCCAAGAGGCAGAUCAUUUUAUCACAAUCAAAAAAGAUAGAAAUUAGUAGAGAUGCCAGCACAGAGAAUGGAAACUGGUCCUGGAUUUGGUGCAAGAUUUUACUACUGCCCUUCCUGAAACACCCGUCUCUCCAACCAUUGCCUCCCUGGCAGAGCCUUUUGAAAGGUUUGUUUAGUUAAAACUUUUCACUGCCUGGGCUGUAGCUUAUGAAAGCUUGGUUGACCUGUCUCUCCAACCUUCUCUUUUACCACUUUUUUCACUUAAUAUUCUGUACUGAUAUCAGAUGCCUAGGAGUUGGGUACUCUAGAAUCAUCCCCAUGUGAGGGCCAUGUGCUAUGAUGGUCCCAAGGAGACGAGCAGGUGUGUGAGCAAGUGGGACUGGGAAGGAAGGGACCAAGCCAGGAAGGGGGAAAUCAAAUCGAUUAUAUCAUCUUCUAUCUAAUUUCAAAGUGGUUAACUCUCCUGCCUUCCACCGUCAAACUCAUAUCUGUGACAUCACCAGGAAGUCCGAAGCAGCAGUCAUCAUAGUCUUAUGGUUUGCAAUGGAAUCUCCAUCUGUUGGUCUAUCCGUUCCUCCACCACCUUUCACUUCUCUGCACACGUAUGGCCCUGGGCAGCAUGCACUUCUGUGACAGCUCCUCUAUCGCUCCCUUCCUUCCCUUCAGUACCAACAGCCCUGCUUCUCUCCACGCCUUUCUGAGAACCCACUUACAAGCUCACUCUUCCUCUUAGAGAGAGAAAUAGUAUAAUUGGAAGCAUACAUUACACCAUGUAAUUGUACAAGAUAAGGACGCACCCUCAGUCCAGCUCAACUCAAUUAGAAUAUUUUUACUGCUUAAUUUGAUCUGAAGAGUCUCAAAGGAAAAACAAAGCCACGCUCUUACAGGAAUAGGCAAAGCCCAACAAACAUGCACGUGUUAUCCCCCUGCCGCAUGCAUCUUGGUAAUGGCCCACCUACCUCAUCAACUGGACUUCCUUUGGUUAAAAUGCCCUGACCUGUGACCUUCCAAAAUCAAUGACCUUCCUUAUGCCAGUAUUACCAGAAGAGGAAAAGAGAGGGAGAGAAAGGGAGAAGAGAGGAAAGUAGAAAGGAGGAGAGAGAAGACAACGUGUGCCGAGUGGUACUUAGAGUCAUCCUAGUCCUGUGAGUUUCUUUUUAAAAUAAGGAAAGACUUGGCUUUUGUAUUAUUAAAGUUUUACCCUCACUACA